CCUGCAAGCUGAAGAACACCAUCCCAACCGUGAAGCACUGGGGUGGCAGCAUCAUGUUGUGGUGUUGCUUUGCUGCAGGAUCGACAGGUGCUCUUCACAAAAUAGAUGGCAUCAUGAGGAAGAAAUCCCACAUGUUGGAGUUAAUGUGUGCAGCCAUCAUCUGGGUCCAACCAAUCAUAUUACAGAUUAGAUAAGGUCACACGAACGGAACACUUUCCUGCCGGGAAGUGGAAUUGAUCGAAAAAUAUGGGGAUGAAUUUCAUUGGAACUAUGAAAUUGAGCUAUAAAAUAUAUCCCCUGCUGUGAGUAAAUAUUACACUACACCUAAAAACAGAAACUUGAUGGCUUUUACAUCUGAAAGUACUCAUUCCACGUAAUCUGAUUGGCUAUAUGUUAAAUAUUCGCACAGUAAUAUGCACUCCCAGAACAUAUGUUAACUCUGUCACUACGCUGUAAUGGUUCAUUAUCUGUUAAAUGUUGGGGAAAAUACAGUGGUGUAAAGGACUUAAGUAAAAAUACUUUAAAGUA